GACGAACCGUGCGAACGUUGUUCGGAAUCACUGGGCUUAAAGGGCGCGUAGGCGGCUCAUCAAGUCCGGGGUGAAAGCCCCCAGCUCAACUGGGGAAGUGCCUCGGAUACUGGUGAGCUCGAGGGAGGUAGGGGCGGAUGGAACUUCCGGUGGAGCGGUGAAAUGCGUUGAUAUCGGAAGGAACGCCGGUGGCGAAAGCGAUCCGCUGGCCCUCUACUGACGCUGAGGCGCGAAAGCCGGGGAGCAAACGGG
rnacentral:rRNA from 1 species